GACGUAGGGCGCGAGCGUUGUCCGGAUUUAUUGGGCGUAAAGAGCUCGUAGGCGGCUUGUCGCGUCGACUGUGAAAACCCGCGGCUCAACUGUGGGCUUGCAGUCGAUACGGGCAGGCUGGAGUUCGGUAGGGGAGACUGGAAUUCCAGGUGUAGCGGUGAAAUGCGUAGAUAUCUGGAGGAACACCGGUGGCGAAGGCGGCAUCCUGGACCGGUAUUGACGCUGAUGCGCGAAAGCCAGGGGAGCAAACGGG
rnacentral:rRNA from 1 species